GGGCUUAUAGUUUAAUUGGUUGAAACGUACCGCUCAUAACGGUUAUAUUGUAGGUUCGAGCCCUACUAAGCCUACCAUACCCCC
rnacentral:tRNA from 1 species